UCCGGUGGUUCUGAAUGGAAGGGCCAUCGCUCAACGGAUAAAAGGUACUCCGGGGAUAACAGGCUGAUACCGCCCAAGAGUUCAUAUCGACGGCGGUGUUUGGCACCUCGAUGUCGGCUCAUCACAUCCUGGGGCUGAAGUAGGUCCCAAGGGUAUGGCUGUUCGCCAUUUAAAGUGGUACGCGAGCUGGGUUUAGAACGUCGUGAGACAGUUCGGUCCCUAUCUGCCGUGGGCGCUGGAGAACUGAGGGGGGCUGCUCCUAGUACGAGAGGACCGGAGUGGACGCAUCACUGGUGUUCGGGUUGUCAUGCCAAUGGCACUGCCCGGUAGCUAAAUGCGGAAGAGAUAAGUGCUGAAAGCAUCUAAGCACGAAACUUGCCCCGAGAUGAGUUCUCCCUGACCCUUUAAGGGUCCUGAAGGAACGUUGAAGACGACGACGUUGAUAGGCCGGGUGUGUAAGCGCAGCGAUGCGUUGAGCUAACCGGUACUAAUGAACCGUGAGGCUUAACCUUACAACGCCGAAG
rnacentral:rRNA from 1 species